UAUCAGUAAGCGGAGGAAAAGAAACUAACAAGGAUUUCUCCAGUAGCGGCGAGCGACUGGGAAUUAGCCCAACACCGAAUCCUGUGCCGUUUCGGCAUUAGGAGUUGUGGUGAAUAGGUUAGUGUCAUUGGCAAUGGAGACAGCUCUAAAUCUGCUUGAGUGCAGUGUUUGUCCAUAGAGGGUGUUAGGCCCGUUAGGGUUGUUGAAAUUGUCAUUGAUGCUUUCCAAUGAGUAGGAUUGCUUGGGAAUGCAGUCCAAAUUGGGUGGUAGAUUCCAUCUAAGGCUAAAUAUUUGUCUGAGUCCGAUAGCAAACAAGUACCGUGAGGGAAAGUUGAAAAGAACUUUGAAGAGAGAGUUAAAUAGUACGUGAAAUUGCUUAGAGGUAAACGAGUAGAGCCGAAGGUUGGUGCUUGGAAUUCAACUAUUUGUUCAUUGCCGAGUGUUGAUUUGGACCCGUUAAAAGGCUAAGUUAGCAUUUGUGUUGGUGGAUGGAUAGUGCACUUUCUUUGUACCAAAUAUGCGUCCAAUAGCACCGCUCCUCUGUCAUAGGAAUGAAGAUGAUGUGUUCUUCGGAAUACGUUUUACAGCAUCCUAUAUGGUUGAGCGUCGUAUUGUUGACAGCGAUCAGUCAACUGUUUGGUAUUAGCUAUUGUUGUUAUUGUGAUUGUUGACUCAAAUUGAGACCUCAGUUGCAGUACGGCUAUGGUUAGUGCUGAAUUGAGCUGGUCUAAAGUCGCGCAUGGUUUAUGUAGGCAGUCUACUUGUCCCGUCUUGAAACACGGACCAAGGAGUUUUAUAUGUUUGCAAGUCAAAGGGCCUUACGAAACCCCACGGCGUAAUGAAAGUAAAGUUUCACUUUAGUGAAAUGAGAUGUGAUCCUGUAUUAACCAUAUGCAGGCGCAACAUCGACCUGUCCGCUGAUGUUCGCAUCUGGGCAGAGUUUGAGCAAACAUGUAGAGACCCGAAAGAUGGUGAACUAUGCUUGUGCAGGUUGAAGUCAGAGCAAACUCUGAUGGAAGACCGAAGCAGUUCUGACGUGCAAAUCGAUUGUCAGACACGAGUAUAGGGGCGAAAGACUAAUCGAACCAUCUAGUAGCUGGUUCCCUCCGAAGUUUCCCUCAGGAUAGCUGGCGCUCAUUCUAGUAGUUGCAUCCGGUAAAGCGAAUGAUUAGAAGUAUUGGGAGCGCAAUGUUCUCAACUUAUUCUCAAACUUUAAAUGGGUGUGAAGUACAGCUCGCUUCAUUGGAGUUGUGCGGUUAAUAUGAGUGCUUAGUGGGCCAUUUUUGGUAAGCAGAACUGGCGAUGUGGGAUGAACCAAACAUCUAGUUAAGGUGCCUAAUGUCACGCUCAUGAGAUACCACAAAAGGCGUUGGUUGAUAAUGACAGCAGGACGGUGGACAUGGAAGUUGUCAUCCGCUAAGGAGUGUGUAACAACUCACCUGCCGAAUCAACCAGCCCUGAAAAUGUAUGGCGCUGUAGCGUGAAACCUAUACUGGAUCGGCAUGGUAAGCGAAAGCGAGUACGCCAUGUCGUGUAGGAGGGUGCCGUGGUUGCGUCGAAGCCUUGGGCGUGAGCCUGGGUGGAGCGGCUACGGGUACAGAUCUUGGUAGUAGUAGCAAUUAUUCAAGUGAGAACCUUGAA
rnacentral:rRNA from 1 species